GAUGAGCGCUAGCGGCAGGCCUAAUACAUGCAAGUCGAACGGUGUCUUCGGACAUAGUGGCGCACGGGUGCGUAACACGUAUGCAACCUACCUUACAUUGGGGGAUAGCCUUUCGAAAGGGAGAUUAAUACCGCAUAAGACAGUAGCUGGGCAUCCAGCAGCUGUUAAAGAUUUAUCGAUGUAAGCUGGGCAUGCGUCCAAUUAGCUAGUUGGUGAGGUAACGGCUCACCAAGGCAAUGAUUGGUAGGGGAACUGAGAGGUCAAUCCCCCACACUGGAACUGAGAUACGGGCCAGACUCCUACGGGAGGCAGCAGUAGGGAAUAUUGGGCAAUGGACGCAAGUCUGACCAGCCAUGCCGCGUGCAGGAUGAAGGCGUUAUGCGUUGUAAACUGCUUUUAUACAGGAAGAAACGACUCUUGCGAGAGGCAUUGACGGUACUGUAUGAAUAAGCACCGGCUAACUCCGUGCCAGCAGCCGCCGUAACAC
rnacentral:rRNA from 1 species